rnacentral:rRNA from 1 species
AUUGAACGCUGGCGGCAGGCUUAACACAUGCAAGUCGAGCGGUAGCACAGGGGAGCUUGCUCCCUGGGUGACGAGCGGCGGACGGGUGAGUAAUGUCUGGGAAACUGCCUGAUGGAGGGGGAUAACUACUGGAAACGGUAGCUAAUACCGCAUAACGUCGCAAGACCAAAGAGGGGGACCUUCGGGCCUCUUGCCAUCAGAUGUGCCCAGAUGGGAUUAGCUAGUAGGUGGGGUAAUGGCUCACCUAGGCGACGAUCCCUAGCUGGUCUGAGAGGAUGACCAGCCACACUGGAACUGAGACACGGUUCAGACUCCUACGGGAGGCAGCAGUGGGGAAUAUUGCACAAUGGGCGCAAGCCUGAUGCAGCCAUGCCGCGUGUGUGAAGAAGGCCUUCGGGUUGUAAAGCACUUUCAGCGAGGAGGAAGGUGGUGAGCUUAAUACGUUCAUCAAUUGACGUUACUCGCAGAAGAAGCACCGGCUAACUCCGUG